ACGCUCGACACCUACGGGAGGCAGCAGUUGGGAAUAUUGGACAAUGGAGGAAACUCUGAUCCAGUGACGCCGCGUGAAGGAAGAAGGUCUUCGGAUUGUAAACUUAUUUUGUCAGGGAAGAAAAAUGACUGUACCUGAAGAAAAAGCACCGGCUAACUACGUGCCAACAGCCGCGGUAAUCUGAGCGGCUGGCAAGGC
rnacentral:rRNA from 1 species